rnacentral:rRNA from 1 species
GCAUGCCUUACACAUGCAAGUCGAACGGCAGCGGGGGUAGCUUGCUACCUGCCGGCGAGUGGCGAACGGGUGAGUAAUACAUCGGAACGUGCCCUGUAGUGGGGGAUAACUAGUCGAAAGACUAGCUAAUACCGCAUACGACCUGAGGGUGAAAGUGGGGGACCGCAAGGCCUCAUGCUAUAGGAGCGGCCGAUGUCUGAUUAGCUAGUUGGUGGGGUAAAGGCCCACCAAGGCGACGAUCAGUAGCUGGUCUGAGAGGACGAUCAGCCACACUGGGACUGAGACACGGCCCAGACUCCUACGGGAGGCAGCAGUGGGGAAUUUUGGACAAUGGGGGCAACCCUGAUCCAGCAAUGCCGCGUGUGUGAAGAAGGCCUUCGGGUUGUAAAGCACUUUUGUCCGGAAAGAAAUCGCACUGGUUAAUACCUGGUGUGGAUGACGGUACCGGAAGAAUAAGGACCGGCUAACUACGUGCCAGCAGCCGCGGUAAUACGUAGGGUCCAAGCGUUAAUCGGAAUUACUGGGCGUAAAGCGUGCGCAGGCGGUUGUGCAAGACCGAUGUGAAAUCCCCGGGCUUAACCUGGGAAUUGCAUUGGUGACUGCACGGCUAGAGUGUGUCAGAGGGAGGUAGAAUUCCACGUGUAGCAGUGAAAUGCGUAGAGAUGUGGAGGAAUACCGAUGGCGAAGGCAGCCUCCUGGGAUAACACUGACGCUCAUGCACGAAAGCGUGGGGAGCAAACAGG